UAGCUCGUGUCGUGAGAUGUUGGGUUAAGUUCCCGCAACGAGCGCAACCCUUGCCAAUAAUUGCCAUCAUUCAGUUGGGCACUUUAUUGGGACUGCCGGUGAUAAACCGGAGGAAGGUGGGGAUGACGUCAAGUCCUCAUGGCCCUUAUGGGUAGGGCUUCACACGUAAUACAAUGGUCGGUACAGAGGGUUGCCAACCCGCGAGGGGGAGCUAAUCUCAGAAAGCCGAUCGUAGUCCGGAUUGUUCUCUGCAACUCGAGAGCAUGAAGUCGGAAUCGCUAGUAAUCGCGGAUCAGCAUGUCGCGGUGAAUACGUUCCCGGGUCUUGUACACACCGCCCGUCACACCAUGGGAGUGGAAUCUGGCAGAAGUAGGUAGCCUAACCGCAAGGAGGGCGCUUACCACGCUGGGUUUCAUGACUGGGGUGAAGUCGUAACAAGGUAGCCGUAA
rnacentral:rRNA from 1 species